AAACGUGCUGACAGCAUCUGGGAGAUGACAUACAGGUUGGACACCAGAGCAGACUGCAAGAUGAUGGGAAUGUUGGAGGUGUAGAAGAGCUUGAUGGGGUCUUGCCUACUAGUAGGCCUGGCGAACAGAUGAGCUCCUGAAAGCUGAAGAGAGCAAGAAGAGUAUCGCAAAUACCUGCAGGUAAGGGGAGGUUAGAGCAAGCCUUCCUACCUUUCAGUUGUGGCCUAUCUUCUAUUUAGGGAUAAGGGAGCUGCAGCUAGCCAGGACAAGGCUUGUAUCUAACAGCUUCAGAGAGACAACCUCAGCCCAGGACACAGAGCUACUGGUUGCUUCCCUCAUGCCUUUCAAGACUGCUCAACUGCGAUACCUGGAUCAACUCUCUAACACCUUCCCUGUGACCCUUUCUUCCUUACUGCUGUCACAAUGACCCAAGAUCCCAGGAUGCUGUGUGACAGCAAGGUCUUAGAACCCACAGCAGUGACAACAAUGCCAUGAUUAGGUCCUGG
rnacentral:lncRNA from 1 species